rnacentral:rRNA from 1 species
UACAGAGGUCUCAAGCGUUGUUCGGAAUCACUGGGCGUAAAGGGUGCGUAGGCGGGUUUUUAAGUCAGGGGUGAAAUCCUGGAGCUCAACUCCAGAACUGCCUUUGAUACUGAAGAUCUUGAGUCCGGGAGAGGUGAGUGGAACUGCGAGUGUAGAGGUGAAAUUCGUAGAUAUUCGGAAGAACACCAGUGGCGAAGGCGGCUCACUGGCCCGGUACUGACGCUGAGGUGCGAAAGCGUGGGGAGCAAACAGG